AAUGGGCGAAAGCCUGAUCCAGCCAUGCCGCGUGUGUGAAGAAGGUCUUCGGAUUGUAAAGCACUUUAAGUUGGGAGGAAGGGCAUUAAGCUAAUACCUUGCUGUUUUGACGUUACCGACAGAAUAAGCACCGGCUAACUUCGUGCCAGCAGCCGCGGUAAUAGCUCC
rnacentral:rRNA from 1 species